CUAUACAUUCUGAAUAAUCAAGCAAUAAAAUUACCCAAUUCUACGGCUUCUGCUUCAGCUAGUCCUUCUGAUUCUAACGAUUGGGACUUGAUUCUGCUAGGAGUCAUAUAGAUUUGGCGGUGAUGUAAUUAGGGAUUUAGGGCGAGGGAAUAAAUUAAGUGGCCAAUGUUUACUGAUAUUGGUGGGCUGUUUUAUAUUUUGAGUUAUUUGAAAGACAAGGUGAUUGCGCCGAUGCACCAGUUGAAGCUACUGCGUCACUUUGGAGGCAAACCUACAACCGCAAUUCUGUUACACGGGCCACCGGGCUGUGGGAAAACCAUGCUGGCUCGAUCCAUUGGCAAUGAGGCCCGGGUGCCGCUCUAUGAAACAUCUGCUGUUGUGUUGAAGUCUAGAGUGUCAGGGCUGCAUUGUUUGACAUAGUCGUGUGAAUUGCGGAAUGCUGGUGUCUAUCAAAUGCAGUUUAAUUGGACUGCUUACAUUUGCGAACUGUUUACAGCUUUUGUUGGAACAUGAAUGGCCAUUGAAUGCAUCUUAUAAAGAGGGAUUGCAAUUGCUUCGUAUGACUUGAUUGUGUAAAUUGAAGCUAAUGGACGGUUUGGCCAUAUGCUAAAAUGGGAGAUUUUUCCACCACGCGAUAUACAAACUGGGAUGGUGAUGGAGGCCUUCAGUUGUUGAAAUUGGGACUUGAACGCCGCAUUGUUAAGUUUUUAAUGUUUUCACAAGUUUAUGAGGUGGUUCCCUUUCAUUUUGUUGAGCUAUUUUAUAUUUGGAGGCCUUCAAUUAUUGUGAACAUUGCCAUCAUAUAGUUAAGGAUAAUAGGAUGUAUAGUUUUUUAACUUCAUAAGGUAGUUCCUUUCCUAAUUUAUUGAUAGUCGAUUGUGAUUGUCUCAUUUAGCAAUUGAUAUUUCAAAUUUUUGCAUGCUUGUAUUAUCAUAUUUUUGCUCCUCUGCCAAACUUGCACAAUUUUACAUCCAUCAUAUAUCUUGUGACUAGUCAGCUGAAAAUCAUCGAGAAUAAAAGCUUGGCGAGAUAAGAUUUCCCUAUCAUCCUUUUUCUUCUCAACUCUUGGAGCUUAGCAUUUUCUAAAUAAGCUUAUCUUUUAUAGUCUCUUUGGGAAAGUGGGGUGAAGAACUUGCCGACCUUCUUUUUUCUUUAUGGUCCUUCAGGUUGUGGAAAGACAUUGAGUUUAAUGCUUUGACUAAAGAAGCAGGAGCGAAUUUCAUUCAUAUCAAGGGGACUGAACUAUUGAAGUUUGUGUGGACCAAGGUAUUGUGGAAAAUAUUUUCAAAUGUGCAAAAGCUCACCCUCCAUGUGUAGUUUUGAUUGAUGAGGUGGACGUGUUGUCCCGAGAUGAUUUCACAAACAGCGAUCUAGAGGAGGAUGAAUAUGUAUGGAAGUCGGAGGAAUACAGAGAGAUAUGGAUCCAAGUCAGAAAUUCAAAAUAAGAAUCGCGUGUUUACGUGAUUGGUACAUCAAGUAGGUACAUGAUUAAGUAUCCCGCUCAUCAAAGAAGAUUUUGGUAGGAUUUGUAUGCUCCUCUUCCUACUCCAGAGGAAAGAGGAGAGGUGUUAAAAGUUCUUGCUCGAAACAAACCAAUAGAUGCCGAAGUGGAUCUGAUGGCUCUAGGAAAAGACGCCGCUUGUGAAAAUUUCAGUGGCUCUGAUCUAUUUGCACUGGUACAUGCCAUUCUCUCUUUACAUUAGUAGUAUUUUUCAUGUCUUAUUUCCGACUCUAAGAGUCAUCCUGUGCCGGAAAACUUUUCCGUCACUGUCCUUUUGAGUAUAAAUUGGUUAAAGUCCAGAAAAUGUGACAGUUUAUGAUAUACUACUUGACUAUUUAGUCCAGAAUCAGUGUUAUAUUUUGUCAGUAGAUUGUUAGGUUGUUAUUUCAACUUCUUUAUUCCUAUUUUGUUGCAUUAGUUUUCUUAUAAAUAGAGAGGACCCCAGAUGUUGAUUUUUACUCUUGCAA